rnacentral:misc_RNA from 1 species
GUAAGAGUUGGCUCAAAUACCAGCUUGAACCUUGUGCAUGCAUCUAAAAAUUCACUUACAAAUUGGAAUUGGAAUUUCCUACAGGGACAUUCACUGAGCAAGAGGCAUCAUUAUCUUCUGCCAAUGGAGAUAGAGAUGUCAAGUGUUCUGUAGCAGUAGGUGGCAGCAUAGCUCCAAGACCAAUCUCAUUAGGAGGAAAGUGUUUGUUCCUUGCAUAUACUAGAAUAUUUUCAUCGUCUGCAGAGAUAUUUUCAAAGUCUGGCUCCUGUAGAAUGUUAUGAAGUUGCCUCUGGAAUCUUUCAAUAGGUGACAAAAUGCAUUUUCUACGCUCUGAUCUUUUUCUUCUUGGGACACUGUCAGGAUUCCAUAGAGGACCUUUGUAUGC